rnacentral:rRNA from 1 species
AAUCUUCCACAAUGGGCGAAAGCCUGAUGGAGCGACGCCGCGUGAGGGAAGAAGGUCUUCGGAUCGUAAACCUCUGUCCUCAGGGACGAUAAUGACGGUACCUGAGGAGGAAGCCACGGCUAACUACGUGCCAGCAGCCGCGGUAAUACGUAGGUGGCGAGCGUUGUCCGGAAUUACUGGGCGUAAAGGGUGCGUAGGCGGUCCUUUAAGUCAGAUGUGAAAGGCUACGGCUUAACCGUAGUUAGCAUUUGAAACUAAAAGGCUUGAGUGCAGGAGAGGAGAGUGAAUUCCUAGUGUAGCGGUGAAAUGCGUAGAUAUUAGGAGGAACACCAGUGGCGAAGGCGACUCUCUGGACUGCAACUGACGCUGAGGCACGAAAGCGUGGGGAGCGAAC